CCCAAGCGGAGCGCGACAUGGACGCAGAAAAGCUUUUCCAGCCCUGCACCCCAGUUUGCUCCCGCGUUCCUGGAAGACACAUACAACAAAGAUCUUCAGGGGGUGAGUGUGUGUCACACAUGAAGAUGAGACCUAUCCUACUGCUCACAGUGAUGCUGGCAGCAACCUCUGAUGGUCUGGACAUCUGUGAUGCUACUCAGGAGGCAACAUGUAACGACACCCUAGGACUACCUGUGUAUCUGCAGCUGAUGAGGAACACCACAGGACGUGAACUGAGAUUUCGUAAUGGAACUGAAGGGAUUUUUACAUCCAGAAGCUCAAGGACAGUGUUCCAUAAUGAGUUCAACACCACAUCAUUCCGUCAGAGGUGGCAGUUUGUUCGUGAUAACGGGACCCUGAUUAUAAACCCUGUAGAGAGGAGAGACGCAGGAACAUACAGAGUGGAGAUCUCUGAAGAGUCAACAGGGAAGGGAGUGGGAAAGCACACAGUACAGCUGAUCAUUGAAGCCCCUCCUCUGACCACCAGUGCACCCAGUGCUGGGUCUGUUUCAACAUCUGCUACAUCACCUGACCCUCUGUUGACAACCACUGGACCCAGUGUUGGUCAUAUGUCAACAUCUGCUACAUCACCUGAGAUAAUUCUUCCUGUCUCAGUGUCUCUCGUGGCCAUCCUGGUGGGUGUGUGUGUGGCAGCAGGGACGCUCUACAUCUGCAAGAAGAAGAAAACCACACAAACACCAGACUGUAGUUUGGUCCUGCCGGGUCUCCAAACUCACAGCAAAGACCCAAGACCAACACAACACACUGAACCAGGUGUGUGUGGAGAGGUGCAGUAUGCUGUGGUAAACAUAAUGCAGAGGAGCGGGGGACAGCAGAGGGGGCAGCAGCAGGUGGAGUACGGGCAGGUCAAAAAACCUGCUCUCCCCGGCUCACCUGUGCAGCAGGUGUACAGUGUGUAUGCCCAGGUGGGCCCUGCACAGGGCCUGCAGUCUGAUAGAGCUCUGGCAAACCCCACAGAUAUCCAUUAGUCUCCUUAUUUAACAUUUACAUGAGUCAUUACAGGCCUCAGGAUGACUCAGCAGAAUUGAACAUUUACACUUGAGGUGACAAGCCUCAUGAUGACUCAGCAAUGACAGGUCUGAUAUGAUGCAGUAAUGUGUGAGCUUUGCCACAGGUUUUGUGUUGCCAGACUAGGGGUGGGAUUUGCCACAGAAGCAACGAUACGAUAUUAUCACAAUACUUUCUUAUUAUUCUUAUUUCUUUCCAGAGUAGAAACAUGUACCAAAAUAAAAGAAAAAAAUCAUACUAUUAAAAAAAUAAAUAUCAUGAUAUUUGGCACCGACAUAUUGUGCCAAAAAAUAUUGCGAUACUAUACAAUAUCGAUUUUCUCUCCCACCUCUAGCCAGACCUACCAGGCCUAUUAAACAUUCUGCUGUGUGUGUGUGGCGCGCGCACGCCCACUACUGCAUGAUGCCAUGAUUUCAUUUGGAAAGCAAUUCUAUGAAAUACCUGCAGCAUAAUUGUACAUACCUAUACCAGGACAGUGUGUGUACGUGUAGAAGCUAACAGGAGAGUGUGUGUGCGCGUGUAAGGCUCCAGGAUAGUGUUUGUGUGUGUGUGAAGAAGCCACCAGGACAGUGUGUGUACGUGAAGAAAGGCACCAGGACAGUGUGUGUACAACUAGAAGCCACCAGGAUAGUGUGUGUACGUGAAGAAAGGCACCAGGAUAGUGUGUGUACGUGUAGAAGCCACCAGGACAGUGUGUGUACAACUAGAAGCCACCAGGAUAGUGUGUGUACGUGUAGAAGGCACCAGGACAGUGUGUGUACGUGUAGAAGGCCCUAUAAACCCUCAUCACUAGGGCUUAGCUGGGCUCUGAAGGCAAAUAAAUGUACCUGCUCAAUAAAUACGUGUGAAUGGAA
ensembl:lncRNA